rnacentral:tRNA from 1 species
UCCCUGGUGGCUUAGAUGGUAAAGCAUCUGCCUACAACUUGGGAGACCCAGGUUCAAUCCCUGGGUUGGGAA